rnacentral:rRNA from 1 species
GAACGCUGGCGGCAGGCUUAACACAUGCAAGUCGAGCGGGGGAAGGUAGCUUGCUACUGGACCUAGCGGCGGACGGGUGAGUAAUGCUUAGGAAUCUGCCUAUUAGUGGGGGACAACAUCUCGAAAGGGAUGCUAAUACCGCAUACGUCCUACGGGAGAAAGCAGGGGAUCUUCGGACCUUGCGCUAAUAGAUGAGCCUAAGUCGGAUUAGCUAGUUGGUGGGGUAAAGGCCUACCAAGGCGACGAUCUGUAGCGGGUCUGAGAGGAUGAUCCGCCACACUGGGACUGAGACACGGCCCAGACUCCUACGGGAGGCAGCAGUGGGGAAUAUUGGACAAUGGGGGGAACCCUGAUCCAGCCAUGCCGCGUGUGUGAAGAAGGCCUUAUGGUUGUAAAGCACUUUAAGCGAGGAGGAGGCUACUUUAGUUAAUACCUAGAGAUAGUGGACGUUACUCGCAGAAUAAGCACCGGCUAACUCUGUGCCAGCAGCCGCGGUAAUACAGAGGGUGCGAGCGUUAAUCGGAUUUACUGGGCGUAAAGCGUGCGUAGGCGGCUUAUUAAGUCGGAUGUGAAAUCCCCGAGCUUAACUUGGGAAUUGCAUUCGAUACUGGUGAGCUAGAGUAUGGGAGAGGAUGGUAGAAUUCCAGGUGUAGCGGUGAAAUGCGUAGAGAUCUGGAGGAAUACCGAUGGCGAAGGCAGCCAUCUGGCCUAAUACUGACGCUGAGGUACGAAAGCAUGGGGAGCAAACAGGAUUAGAUACCCUGGUAGUCCAUGCCGUAAACGAUGUCUACUAGCCGUUGGGGCCUUUGAGGCUUUAGUGGCGCAGCUAACGCGAUAAGUAGACCGCCUGG